UACGUAGGGUGCGAGCGUUAAUCGGAAUUACUGGGCGUAAAGCGUGCGCAGGCGGUUCGCUAAGACAGGUGUGAAAUCCCCGGGCUUAACCUGGGAACUGCGCUUGUGACUGGCGGGCUAGAGUACGGCAGAGGGGGGUGGAAUUCCACGUGUAGCAGUGAAAUGCGUAGAGAUGUGGAGGAACACCGAUGGCGAAGGCAGCCCCCUGGGCCGAUACUGACGCUCAUGCACGAAAGCGUGGGGAGCAAACAGGAUUAGAUACCCUGGUAGUCCACGCCCUAAACGAUGUCGACUAGUCGUUCGGAGAGGUAACUUUCUGGGUGACGCAGCUAACGCGUGAAGUCGACCGCCUGGGGAGUACGGCCGCAAGGUUAAA
rnacentral:rRNA from 1 species